GUGAGGAAUAUUGGUCAAUGGGCGAGAGCCUGAACCAGCCAAGUCGCGUGAAGGAUGAAGGUUUUAUGAAUUGUAAACUUCUUUUGCAGGGGAAUAAAGUACGGUACGUGUACCGUUUUGUAUGUACUCUGCGAAUAAGGAUCGGCUAACUCCGUGCCAGCAGCCGCGGUAAUACGGAGGAUCCAAGCGUUAUCCGGAUUUAUUGGGUUUAAAGGGUGCGCAGGCGGGUUGAUAAGUCAGCGGUGAAAGUUUGCAGCUUAACUGUAAAAUUGCCGUUGAAACUGUCGAUCUUGAGUGCAAAUGAGGUAAGCGGAAUGUGUUGUGUAGCGGUGAAAUGCUUAGAUAUCACGAAGAACUCCGAUUGCGAAGGCAGCCUACCAGGAUGUAACUGACGCUAAAGCUCGAAAGUGCGGGUAUCGAACAGGAUUAGAUACCCUAGUUAGUCC
rnacentral:rRNA from 1 species